rnacentral:rRNA from 1 species
UACGGAAGGGGACUAGCGUUGUUCGGAAUUACUGGGCGUAAAGCGCACGUAGGCGGAUUGUUAGUCAGGGUGAAAUCCCGGGGCUCAACCUCGGAACUGCCUUUGAUACUGCAAGUCUCGAGUCCGAUAGAGGUGGGUGGAAUUCCUAGUGUAGAGGUGAAAUUCGUAGAUAUUAGGAAGAACACCGGUGGCGAAGGCGGCCCACUGGAUCGGUACUGACGCUGAGGUGCGAAAGCGUGGGGAGCAAAC